CAGAUGGUGCUUUUUUGUUUUACUAAACUGAAUGAUCAGAUGUAAAUAAUAUACACCGUAUAGACUAUAAAGAUCACUGAAGGUGAGGCUUCCAUGUGCAGUGAAUUGCUGUGUUGCAGAGACUAUUUCUCUCCUUAGUGAUAUAGAAUUUUUUUUUAAUUCAUAUUUUUUUAGCUUCUUAGUUUAUUUGACUCUUCAGCUUGCUUACUACACCCUCUAUUUACCUAGUCAUAUUUGUUUUCAACCACUGUAUUUCAGAUGGUUGUGUUGCAUUGUUUAUUCUGGUCUCUUCCAUGUAGAACCAGGAUAUUGGGUCUCUGGUUGAACAGGCAGAAGAGAGUUGCUGGUAAUUUGGCACCACGCUAUUUGUACAAACAGAUAGAAGGAACCAUGAAAAAAACAAGGACCAGCCCUACUAGUGAAGGGUCAGAACCAAACAUUUCAGUGAAACUCCAAAGUGGGAUUCUGAUUCCAGACAUUCUACCAGCCUGACGUCCACUGGGAAAAUGAUGACACCAUAAAUUAUUUAAAGGUUUGAAAACCACAAGGACUACUGUAUAUAACCAGAUUGGAUUGACUUUUUAACUCUUUUGAUUAAUAAUACAUAAAGCCUUAGAUAUGUGAAGUGGUCGAGUGCUAACCUGUUAACAAAGGAAGUAGAAGGGAUGAAUUCUAACAUUUCUCAUAAGUUAUUCUACUUAACACAUUGGCCAAACAAAACAAACAAAUGGAAUGCUCUGCUUUAGUCUUAUACCUUCAAUGUACCAUCAAUAUUUGAUGACUACCUAAUGUCUCUAUAUCUCUGGCCAUACAUGAUAUUUUGAUCAUCUGGCUUCCCAAUUUCAAUCUGCUUUAUUUAUUUAUUUAUUUGCUUUUUUUUUUUUUUCUUUUUUUCUUUUUUUUUCCUUGCAUUCAUUUAAACAUACAACUAGAAAGUAGACAAAGUGUUUCAAUUUUCUGGUUUGUUUGUUAACUUUAAUUUUAACAGCACUGACUACUCAGAUAUGGCAUUGAUAUUUCAGUCUUCAAAAUCAACAAAUGAGAACUAGAAUUUCAUCAGUUUAACACAUUUUAUACUCAGUAGGAGUAGGUAUGUAUGCUGCUUCAGAUAGAUUUCACGUUCUACCCUUCUGCUGCUGGCUCUGUUGUAAUUAUCCACUGGUUUCAUAAGUUUUGGUUUCUUACAAGCUGCUUUGGGUGGAACUCUGAGAACCACUGUUAUUUCUUUCCUGUUCAAGUAUCAAAGAUGCUCAGGACAUCCUGUAUUUCUGAGCAACAAGAAAAAUGACUGGAGACAUCACCGUGCCUCUGGGUUGCCUGACCCAUGCUUCAGGCAACAGGCUAUCCAGGGUGACUUUGGUAUGACAUAUUACUUAACAAUAGAAACCACUGAACCACUGCAUUUUUGUUGGAUUUAUUGUUUGUUUUUGUUUGUUUGUUUUUGUUUUUGUUUUUUUGUUUUUUUUGUUUUUUGUUUUUUUUUUUGUCUGUUUGGUUUGGCUUGGUUAGAUUUAUUGUGCAGGUGUUAUCUCUGGAUUUUUUUUUUUUGCAUUAUCCCAAAAGAAGUGUAGCUAGAUGGAGUGGUGGUAUGAAAACCAUCUUUGUCUCUUUAGUCAUUCCUAUGCAUUUAUCCUUUGUGAUUCCCCACAGAAUUCCACUCUCAACUUCUUUCUGCACAGGCACUGGCUACUCACUCAACCUGCUUAAUGUACAAACACAGAAUGACUAAUUAAUUCUUUUUGCCUCUUAAUAUGCCCAUUAAGUUGUCCUUUCUUGGUUCCCCUAAUGACAAAUAUGCCUUUCUGCCCAUGGCCCUCUUGUACUUCUUCUGCCAUUGCAGACUGACCAUUCAUUCAAUGUCCAGCACCAAUGAUGCCUCCUCAAAUAUUCUAAAAAUCCUAAAAUCCAUGUGAUGUUAAUCUAUGUAUAAAGGAAUGAACAUUCCAAUUCAAAAGCCUAUCCUUCAAUUUUUGUCAGUCCAACUUCCGCAUUUUUUUUUCUGUUAUUUUGUUGUAAAUUUGUAUUGAUGCCAUUAGUGGAAUUCAAAUGAAUUUAUAAUAUGAGCAAAAUGGUGUCCUCAUCCUGGCUCUGAGAAAUAAAUGGGGUUCAUUUUCUUACUAAAAAACAAAAUUCAGAAAAUUGUGUCAGCCCACAAAUUGCACCUGAACUGGGUCUCACUUGUGAUGCCAAUAAUAAAUGUAAAUUAUUUAUCAACAUUUAUUAAAUGUUAAUGAGUGCCAUCAUUUGACUUCCGUACACACAAUAUGUGAAAUCUGUUGUCAGAUUCUGUUCCCUUUUCUGAUGCUAGGUAUUACCCAAUUUGUUUAUAGUUUCCCCCAAAAUAAAGUAUAUUCAUAUUCUAUAGAAAUAAUAAUCAUAUCUUCUAUAGUAAAUAUAUAUAUGCACCUUUUAUCAUUUUAUGCCUGUCAAUAACAGUGUAGCCACAUUAAUUUGUUAGCUGCUAUGGUUAAAAACACCACUAGAACAAUUUAUUCCCAUUCUAAAACAAAAUUCUAGCCACAGUGUUAUUUUUACAUAUUUCCUUACUGCAUUUUAAGGUCUAAUCAGGGGACUGAGACCAGCAUCUGGCUUUACCAGAAUAGCAAGUGUCUUUCCCAUACUAUCUUUCAACUGUCAUUUAAUAUAUAUAUAUAUAUAAAAAAAUCAGCAUUUGUUUUCUUUUCCAUCUGGGAUUAUGUGACAAAACAAUCUCCUGCAUCUAAUCAAUUAUUUUUCUUCUAUAUCUUUUGCAUUUUCCUGCAGUACCGUUUGCAAAUAUAACAGAAAGAUCCUUCAGAGAUAAUCUGGUGAUUAUUUCAAAUUCAACUUUGGACGCUGCAGGCAUUAAAAGAUGAAAAUUACCUAAAGUCCAGUGUUGUACAACAAAUCUCUACCUCUGGCCUCCUGUCCUGAGGUGAAAAUACAAACCAGAGAGAUAUUUAGAAUCAUUUUGACAGUUCAUAAAAUUAAGCAGGGAUUAGGGAUUCUGUCAAAAAUAAAUAAGUAUAAUGCCACAGGGCCCACACAAUGUUAAUCACAUCUCCUUGCAACAGGUACUACUGCAACCCACUUCUGGGUGGGGGGGAGGAGAAGAAAAGGAGUCAUUAUGUUAAUCAUGGCACGUAUUCAGUAUUUAGCACUGGUCAUUCCAAUUCCAAAAAUCUGAGUGCAGAAGUUCAACAUGUUAAUACAUAUACAUAUGCAUACAAACACAUGCAUAAUUAAUAUAUGUAUAUAAACUACCCAUUCAGUUUAAGUCUAUUCAUUUAUAGGCUUCUGUAGAAAUGUCAUAUACCUUGUAUAUUCUAUUUUCCUCUGAAUUUUAUGGAUUAGCCCUAAUGAUACAAACACUUAAACAUAUGCUUGAUUUUACAUAAUGAGAAUGCCUUCCUGAUUUUAGGGUAGCUCUCAAUCUACACUAACACUCUAGUGGGAAUGUACUCUGUGGUGCCAGUCAUUUAGAACACAUAUUUAAUAAGAAAAGAAUUUAAACUACUUUAGUAGACAUAGAUGGCUUUAACACUGCUACGUUUGCAGCAGGUAAGCCCAAGAAAUUGCAAACAUGCCUAAAAUUAAUUCAUAGCAAAAAGUGUGCAGCUGACCACAGAAAUACAUUUGGGGCAAGCAUGGACUUUUACAGUCAGCUUCCCAAAUUUCCCCACCCACUGCAUAGAAUUUUCAGUACAAUUCAAAACAUUUCCUCAGCACUAGCCUUCUAACAGUGGUGCUUUUCUUUUUCUUUCUGGAUGAACAAACUUUAAUAAGUUGCAUUUACACAGUGUAUAAAAUCAGUUUCACUGUAGUAGAUUAGUAUCAUGUUUCAAUAUCUUUGGAAAAUGUUCAAGUUAAAUUAACAUGUUCCUAACAAACUGAAAAGUCUGAAAUAGAUUUAAAACUUUUUUUUUUUUAAAUUAAAAAUAAAUAAAUAAAUAAAAGAUAAAAAUUUCAAGAUAUAUUUUAUGCUCAAAUUAUUGUCACUUAAUAUAAAUAUUUAAUUUUCCUCAUUCUUUUAAUGAUGUAAAUAUUGUUUCAUAGCAGAUAUUAACAACUUUCCUGAUUCCUAAAUGAAACAGACAUUAGUUUACAUAAUCCAUUUUAGAUGUUUGAAAUGUAAUUAAUUUCCAUCUUUAAAAUUUUCUUAUGAAAAUUAUUCUCCAUCCCACUCUAGUCCUGAAUGCUGACUGGAGCUGGAAAAAUACAUCAUAAAAAUGUUCAUUUAAAUAUUUAAACAAAUUCACUUACUUUGGAUUUACAUCCCCUUUGGGCUCUACUUUCCAUGAAUACUCUUAUAAAUAAACUUACUUUAAGGACGAUCUGCAGGGAGGACAAAUUAUAAACAAAAAUUGAAGAAUUCACAUGGGAUAUGAAUUUUUGAAUUCUAAUCAUUGAUUGUUGCACUAGCAAUUAAAGCUUACUGGAGGACAAUAAUCCCAUGCUAUAUUAAUUGUCAAGACUUCAUGUCUUCAUGUCUAGUUUAGUUUGGCAUGUUUUUGUUUCUUUUUCUGUAGAAGCACAAACCCUUAUACUACUUUGGUGAAAAUGCCCAUAUAUGUGUAUGUCUGUGCACUCCAGCCAAGGAUACUAAAAGACCAAGACUAAGAAGUCUAAGUCCCUUCUUAGCCUGAAUCACAUUUUACUCAUUUUCAUCACUGAUUUUUAUCUGUAAUUACUCAGAGUUAGGUAGAGGAGGAACCUGAACUUUGUCUUUCUAUGUCCAAGUCCACUGUUCACUGCUCUAACCACAGGG